UUUUUUUUUUUUUUUUUUUUUUCAUUAAGACCAGUUAACUGCCCAAAUGUUACACUGAACGGCUCACCAAUUCCACAAAGUACUUGUGUGAACUAUCUCGGCUUGCAUCUCGACCGCAGAUUAACAUGGAAAAACCACAUUAAAGCAAAAAGUCAACAACUUAGACUUAAAACACUAAAAAUGUCCUGGUUGAUAAGUCGAAAAUCAGAAACCACUUUGGAAAACAAAAUUCGCCUCCACAAAUCCAUACUGAAACUGAAAAAAAAAUUUUUUUUUUUUCUCUCUCUCUUUAUAUUUAUUCUCAUUUUUUUUUUUCGAGACGUUGAUAUGCAAUGACUGCACCAUCAAGUGGCCAUGCGACACCAAGCCAAAGCCUGUUACGCGAGGAACCCAUCAGAACGCAGCCCUCCUCCCGCCCAAAAAAACAAUGAAUGCAAAAUGGAUCCAUGCAGGAGAUUGCUUUUAUUGGGAUUGGCGGCUCUUGCAUGAUCGGAGGAGGAGGACAAUCAACAAAAUAAGCGCCGACAGCUUUGAUAAAACCCAUAUCUUCAGGAAAUAAACCAGAACGGUCGUUUGUCUAUACAUUUGAGUAUUAUAACUCAUAUAAAUAUGUGUACAUUAAUGGAAACCCAUGAAAGGAUACCCUUUUGCAUAUUCCGCAGUUUGAAAAUAUGACAGAAAAUUUGCAUAUGGCUGGGAAUAACAUCUGCAGACUUCUUUAAUUGGUGAAGCAGCAAGGCCGUGACAAGGAAUAUUUGCGCCCGUUGCAAAGUUGUAAAACGGCGCCACCAAGCACCCUUCCUAUUCAACAUUGGCUAGUUUCGAGCCCAGAUUGUCGCCAUCGCCCCUUGGCACGACCCUGUGGAUCAGUACUUGGUCCAAAAAGGAAAACAACUUAAAACAUUUUGUUAACAGCCCAGCCGGGUCUGUGUCUUGGCGACAUGAAGAUACUGG
rnacentral:lncRNA from 1 species